UUCGGAGUACGGGGACCAAAAUGCGGAGGAAAAUGUGGCUGCAAAAUAUGAAGAUCAAGCUGAUUGUUUUGGGAAUACUGAUUGCCUUGAUCCUCAUCAUAGUCCUCUCUGUUUGCCAUGGUUUCAACUGCGGAAAAUGAGUGCUAUUCUCCAGGAGGCUUAUAUUACGCUCUUCUAAGAGCUUCUGUGAUGAUAUUGUGAAAGAGAUAUAUAAAUAUAUAUGAUCUUGACUUUGUAUUUAGUCUAAAAAAGUUAGCAGUUUCCCUAUAUUUGUUACAAAGAAAACCGAAAACUUAUUUUUGCUUGUGAAUGAGUCCCGUCAUUAUAUUGUGAGAAUACUUGUGCAAAGAUGCUGCUGCUGAUUAUACCGGCCAGAACUAAAAUAGGCCUUCUUAGCUAGCUUCGAAUUUGCUGAAUUUGUGUGGAAGUAGCUUUAACUUUCCCAGUAUUCUAAACUUUCCCAGAUCGGGCGCCAGCGCCACAUAGUUCUGUGAUGGGUGACAUUGUUAAAUCUCUAUUCAGUAAAGUAUCGAUUACAUUAUUAGGUAACGUGUAUAAAUACGUGGUAUAAAGUAUAUGAUCGAUUCUAGACCUUUGGCAGUGAGAGUGUACUACAUUCAGUAAAGUAGCAGAAAAUGAAUUUUGCCAAAGCUAUCAGAAGAAACACGAGGAUUGUACAUUGCAAGUAAUUCUUGCCAAACAAAACUGAUGUUCUUGUCGCGAAGAACAAAGCUAAAUCACAGGACGUGAUGACUACUGACUAGCACAACAUGAGCUCCAAAACCUUCAGUAGUAGCGUUGUUAUAUACAGCUAGAUACUAAUAGGUUUCACACUUCUGAAGGAUGCAACGCAACACAAAUACAGCGAUGAUUUAAGUUUAGGCACAUUACCAUACUUAUCUUUAUCAUAAUCAUAAUAAAAUUUAAGAUAAACUUCUCCUAGGCUUGAAUAAACAAUGUUGAUCAUCAUCAAUAACAUCACCAACAUUCCAACGCACCCUUUUACCCCCUCUACACACCCCAUUUCUCAAAUCCACCCCAAAUCCAACCCCAUUGUUUCCUUUCACCCCAAUCUUGAACCUCACUUUCUCCCUCUCUUUUGCCAAAUCUCCACCCAAAACUUCCCACUUGUAUCCUCCAAAAGUAAACCUUUCUCCUUCAGGAAAUUCUGAGUUCUCCCACAACUUUUCACUUCUGUUGCAAACCGGUCCCUGGCAUUCCUUAUUGUAACUUCUCUCGUCAGGAAAUGCUGGCAACCAUUUUGGGAUAUGCAAAUGCAAGCUUCUUGAGCCCCGGUCAUUCUCUUUCUUGCAGCAAACCGAAUUUGCAUGCGCAUUUUUGCUUCGGGGAAUGGGUUUCGCAAAUGGGAUUUCACAACCGUGCCUAACAAAACCGGCAAUCUCUUUUAAAACCCCAGAAUCCAACAUGCAGUUUCGGUUAAGAGCUGACGCACCAGGAAAGCCUUGACCAGACGACACGUCGUUUAGGGCGUUUGUGAGGUCUACGAGGUUGGAUUCGCUGCGGUGGGCCACAUGGGAAUACGAUGCGGCCCUACUGGCCAGCUGUUGAAGAUACUUGGCGGCCACCAACGUUAGGGUUUCGAGGGCUGAGCUUUCCGCCGCCUUGAACCCAACGGAACGGCAGAUCUGAGACACCGCAACUUUUGUGACGGUGAAUGCGAACUCCGAAGGGGUUUCUUCUCCUUGUUCUGUUGGUGGCUUUUGAUUUUGUUUUUGGUGUUUUUUCGUUUUUGUUUUCUGGGAUUUCAUCGUUAGUGUAUCGGAGCAGAGACUACUCUUUUAAGCAGAGCCGCCCCAAUCGAAUUUGAUUUUUAAUGGCUUCCUUCUAAAUUGGGGGGCUUUUCCGUAAUAUAAUUUUAUUUUUGUUUUUCUUCUUCGAAUUUAAUUCAGGAGAAAAGUUUGAUGCGUGCGUGUUGGGCUUUGAACCCGCGCUCACAAAUGGCAGAAACUGAGGAAAUCCUGGUCUGAAGCCUGCCACUGAGCUAGUCACAUUGGUUGUAUGACUAUUGUUCGCUAUUUUUAUUUAUUUUUUAAUCGGCAAUAUUAAUACAUACCAAAUAUUUUUAAAAAAGUACGAUACAAAUUUCAUAUUCCGAUUUUUGUAAUUUUAGUAUUUACUAAAGUAAAAUCUUUAAAAUUAUACAUUUUAAGUCUCAUAUUAUGAGGGAUAAAGUGCCAUUUGAUAAGGUUCUUUUAAAAAUCAUUUUGAAAAAAAAUAAAAAUAAAAGAUUUCGCUUAACCACAUUCAUCAGUUUUUUUUUUUUUUAAUGAUUGGAACUUUUAACACCCAUUUUAAAUCUUCAUAACAUUUUUUUUUUUAACUACUCCAGUUUUAUUUAGAAAAAUAUAAAUCUAUAUGUUAAAAAAGAUUAUUUUCCUUUUACUGCUUAAGAUAUUGUAAAAUAACGAAUAGGUGUAAUAAAUAAUGAAAUAACAAAUAAGUGUAAUAAGUAUUGCAACAUAAUAUAAAUAUAAAUAUAAAUUACGAAAUAGGGUAGUGUAAAAAAAAAUAAUGUGUUUGAGUAUUCAACUGAAUUUCUAUUAAAAAUCAUUUAUUUAAGUGUUCAGUUGAAUUUGCAUUCAAAAUAAUAAAUGAAUUAAAUUUUUUUUUUUUUUUUCAUAGUUAGGUGAUUUUCAAUUUUUUGCGGUCUCCAAAGGCUUACUCUUUCUUAAUGCCUCAGGUCUCUCCGUGCUUGAAGCCCACACGUGACAGGUGCCUAAAUCUUGUAAGGUUUCGAUUCUCUGGGCUAAUAAAUUUGCUUUCAAAAUUAAUAAAUGGGCUCAACCCAACUCAAUAUAUAUAUUCAUUGAUCCAUUUGAUCUUCUUCCAAGUCCACUACAUGUUCCGAGUGGUCUAAUUCCGUUUCAUAUAAUAUUUUCUCAGCUUCUGUUUCUAAGAAAUAAAUCAUCAAAAUUUUAUUAACAAAUAGAACAAAUCGCAUAAGAUAAAAUGUGGGUACAUAUUGAACAACAUCAAUUAAAGCCACUACAAAUAUAUAAUUGGUGCUUCACCCAAGGGACCAUUACUCAUGAUUCAUGAAAGUGAUCUCAUUCUUUGUCGCAGUUCAAGAUCUAUAUCAUAUUAUACGUGACAAAUAAUUCAUGAAACUACUCUAUUUGUCCAUAAAUAGCAUACAAACCCCAGAUAAUGGCCAAAAAUCUUCUUAAAUGAUAACCCCCAUUUCAAUUCUUCAUGUUGCCUUCAAGAAAAUAUAGCUGGAUUGAAGAUAAGAAUGUUCGAGUCAUUGCUUGACAACCAAUGGUUUCUUUAUGCACAUCCUUUGAAUUAUCUUUCAUAAAAAAAAAAAAAAAAAUGUAGGGACAGAAUCGUUAAUUAUUCAUCACCACAAAUUUUUAUUAUUAAAAGGUGGGGUGUUGUUUUAAGUACAUAAAUUUAAGAGAGAAAGAAUUCAAACACCGGUUGCACGUAUCUUUCAUGCCAUGAAAAUGUGUAUAAAUACUUUUUUUUUUAAAAAAAAAAAAAAAGAUAAAUAUAAGCCAUCUAAAGUUACAGUCGAAUAAAAUAGUAAUAAUUUGGUUUGUCUAAAAAAAAUAGUAGGUCGGCGGUCAAGUCAGCGUGGAUGGAGGGUGAUUAACGCAUUCGUCGUGAUCUACUAAUUACAAAUUUUAAUUAAAUUAAUGGUAACACAUUUCCAGAAUUAUAGUUAUUCUUUAGGCAUGAUUGAGGCUUUGCGAAAGAUUACUUAAAAAGAAGCAGCCAAUUAGCUAGCUAGAUGCUUCUCUUAAGCAAAGAUUCUCAAUCCAAAGCAAAAAAAAUCAGCAAUUAUUUUAAUCUUAGAUUAGGGUUCACUUCGUUUCAUUAAUUAAAAUAAUAAUCUAACGGUUGUGCAAAUGAUGGCAUGUGUGCAAUGGGAUUAGGUUUAGAGAAUUAAUUUACUAACGCCGGCUUAUAUGAUAAUUAAUCAUGCAUGUGAUUAUUAGGCUAUAUAAUAUAUAUAUAUAUACGCUGAAACAAAUUACGUAGUCAAAUAGGGUAUUAAUUGCGUAUUUGCAUGUGAAAAUGAUAUUAAGAAAACGAGGAGCGAAUUACCAAAAAAAAUGUUGAUUUCCGAUACAUUCUUAGCCUUGACUCUUAACCAUUAAGAAAUAAUUGAAGUCGUGUCUAUGACAACGUUUAAUCAUUAUAUUUUUAUACGCCAACUUAUGUUGUCAAUUAUUUUGUAGAUAUUUCAUGUUUUGAAUUCAGGUAUAUAUUUGAAUUUUGGUUCACCAAACCUGUUGGAUGUGGGAAAAAAAAAUAAAAUUGACUCCUCUAGAAGGCUAGACCAUUUGAUGACCCAGUAAAUUAGAUGCCUCUUAUGAUCAACUCUAGUAUCCUUUGAAUUUUCUUUGUAUAACGAACCUUAUCUUUCAAAAAUUGCGUGCUUACAUACAUUUGUAGACAUUGUUCUUGAUCAACAUCACCUGAAAGACCCCAGUGGAUUAUUAUUAUAAGUUUGUAGUCAGUUCAAAAGUCUCUUUCUAAAUUCCAAGUGUUGAGUUUUGUGCUUGUAAGAUAAUUCGAUGGUAGCAUUUUUAUUUAUUAGCUUUUGGAGCUUAUCAAGAAUAUUUGUGCUCUCAAAAGAUGAAUCAUCCUGGAAUUUAGAAAUUUAUUUUCUAUUCUAAAUCAUCACUUGAUUUGAAAAUAAAAACCCGUGUUUCAGCUUCUCCACUUGGUUUACAAAUAUGAAGAUUACAUUCUGUGUUUUCCAAUGAUAGCGACAGGAAACCCUAGUUAGGUUUUAUAAUUACAAUCCAGAAUAUUAUGCCAGCAACUACUACUUGUUUGUUCUUGAUUAUUGAUUCCUUCUUUCUAGGCUUUGUUUCAACUUGUAAGAAAAGAAAACCUGCCAAUAUCAAACUUGAAUAUAGUAAAAUUUGAAAGAAUGCUCAAAAAGUUGAUUAGGUGACUAAUUAAAUGCUUAUCAAAAUCUUGCAUAAUUUAAAUAAUCAGAUGAUGUCAGAAAUGAUACCAUUAGAAUUUUGCACAAAAUCUGCUAUCAAAUCAUGGUAAUCCAGCAGCCUCUAGAGGAUAAGCUAGUCUAAUAAGUUUAGAACAAUGAUAGGUCAGAUAGCAAUAUUUCUUUUGUAUUGUUUCUCCAGUGACCAGAACUAUAAUUGCACUUUGAACUUUUGUUUGUCAUUACUCAUUUCUGCUUAUGCAUUAUUUCUUAUUAUGAUAGCAAUGUGUGACUUUACUGUGGCAGCUUUUUCGGAUGCUCCAUGCGAUACAUGUCAAAAGCUUAAAUUUAGUGCAACUGGAGGAAAAAUGUACGAUUAGUUAAUUUGAUAAAUUUCAUCUGAAUCACAUUCACUUUUAUCCGGGGAAAUCUACAAGAAAUCUGCCAGUUAAUACUGAAUUUACCAGAACUCUUUUCCUCAUUCAAUAAUAUCACCAAUAAUUUUGCCUGUCAGUUUCCAGGGUUUCCUGUUUCUGCUGCACAUACUAUUUGGUGCUGUGCUGCCACACGCUAGCUAGCUAUAGAGUUAUUUUAUUUGGUAUUGCUCACAAAUUAAUCACUUCCAUACCUUGGCAAAAGCACUUCUAUCUUCUAAGAUAUUUUAGCUCUUCAAUGAAGUCCUGUGCUGCUGUCUAGACUCUAGUGUCGACAGAAUAGGGUUUGGUGGUUUUGGGAGAUUAGUGGAAAAAACGACUAGAUAAGUGCCUUUGGAGUCAUCAAACGCAAAGUGCCCUCCUACAAGCAAAAGGGUUUAAUUUUUAUAAUGUUUAACAUGGGGUAUUUUAUUCAUUUCUAAAAGAAUCUAAUAAGUAGAUUUUUCUUAACCAUCACUUGCAUGCUAACUUAUAAAAGUCAAUAAAUUGCAAAAAUAUUUACUUAACUCUUAAAAUAGUUCAUACAUAAAAUAAUUAUUAAUAAUUUAGGUGGGAAGUCAUGUUACGCACAUGUUUUGGAUAAUGCUUGUUUUAUGCAAUUCUAUUUGUAUACGGCUUUAAAAAACUUGGUCUAUACGUGAAAUAAUAAAGAGUCCCUCAAUUUGAGCUAAGACUUAAGAGAUGAAACAAGGUUUAACAAAAGCAAGAUAAAACUACUCAACUCUUGCGAGACAUAAACCAAAAUGUAUCAACAUCAAAUACAAGACUGAAAGCUGGAAAAUGGUCCACAAUUAUGUAACAUUAUUGUUGAUGAUAAAGAUAUAUACAUACGUGAGAAAAGACAACACUUAGGGUUCGAGCCAACAACAGGUGCACAACUAAUUUAUCGUGUAUGCAAAGCAGCCUCCAAAAAAGAAUUAAAUUCUAAUGGAAUUGACAAUGCCAAGUCGUAUUCAAUUGGGUUCCCGUUCAUUGUCUCUAAGCCUAUUUAUUGACAAUUUUACUCAAAAUCGAUAGGUGAAUUUUUGUCAAUUGCUGAAAGUUUUGUGUGAAUGAGAUUCUGUGUUGAAAUCCGAAAGUUGAUGGAAGCUAGUGCCCUCGGGUUGUUGUUUGAUGAACAAUUAAAUAAAGCUAUCUAUAUUUUAUGGCCGAAAGUAAUUGAUUUCGGUGUGUGAAAACGAAAUAGGAUUCUCAAGCUGUCUUUUCUUUCAUGUUCAUGUCUUGACGAUUUGUACGAGUUGUCUUUCCUGGCAAUAUCAUCAGAAACAAUAGUUUUCACUUUUCAACUAACAUUCGCUAAAUAUAGACCGUCAAUGGAGCUGGUUAAUUUAUCCCCCGAUGCUUCUGAAAUGAAUAAUUCUUUUUUACCUUUUUUGGACAAAAUAUACCUAGGAUAUACGUAAUUCUGUGUCACCGCAAUCAAAAUUCUGUUCUUUAUUUUAAUUAGCUUCCUCUUCUAGUUUAGUAAGCUCAGAUGAUAUGGAGAUUGGUAUGUAAUAUAGUCAGGUAAGACAUCUUUUGAUAAGUGAAACCGGACAAAUGGUGCAUAUAAUGUGUCAUUCAUUUUGAAGUUACUGACAAGAGGAACAACACUCUUGAUAUGCCUCGACUUUCGUCAAAUUUUUUGUCAAAUUUCAUCAUUUCUGAUCUCAGAAUAGAGUUUGAAGUCGCUUUUGUGAUACUAAAAAACUUAUAGAUAUUGUCUUUUUUUUUUUAAUUAUGGAAUUUUCAAAUUUAUAUAUCAUUUGCUUUCCUUUAAGGACGUAUAUUGUAUUUUAAAUAAUGUGGCAUUAAUAAGUAUAUACUAAACUCUUCUUAUCUAAGUAGUAUGUAUUGGUGUCACAAAAGUAGGAAAUUCAAUUUUUGUAUCCUAACUUUCUAAAUAUAUCACUAAUUCUUUUUCAUCUCUUGCUUUCAUUUUGUCUUGAUUCCUGAUGUUUUGAAGUUUUUUACACUAAUAAGAGAUUACACAAAAGCAAAUAGUGAAAAAAAAUAUUUUUUUUAAAAAGUAAUCAAAUGGGCCCUGGGACGCUUUCAAUUAACCAAUCCUUACACGCCACCGAUGCCAGUCACCUCAAAUUGUUAAAAAAAAUUGUACAAUAAUUUGUAAAUGUACAUCAUUAUUUUUUUUAUAUUAUUUAAAAAAAUAGACUCCCCACAAUUUGAAGUCAAUUGAUUAACUAAAUAAAACUACUAGUCUACAUUAGAUGUAUUAUAUAUACGAUUAAGCAGUGACGAAAAUUGUUUAACAUUAUCAUCAUCAAAUGGGGGAUUUGUUGGCAAAGCAUCAUACAGUGAUAAUUUUAUAUUAAUCAAAGCAAUGAGCAAGAUCUUAGGCGGCGCCAUUCAUAGAAAAAAAUAGUAGUGGUGUCAAAUCAUUUGAUCUCAACAAGAGACCUAAUUUUACUCUAAUUGGACGUGUUAUCAUUUUACUUGGUUUAAUAAUCACAACUUAAGAACAUGUAUGAAAUUUAAGGUUUUUGGUGGGACCCAAUUGCUCCCUUUUCUUUCUUUCACUCUUUUUUUUUUUUAAUUUUUUUUUUUAAAUUGCAUUAGUGAAGAAAGCAGAAGCACUUUAUCAAUGACUUCCAUUUAACCAUCAUUUAGCUACCCACCUUAAAGUGAUUCUGCUUCAUCUCAUGCUCACAAGAUUACAUUUCCAUUAUACAAAUUUGUAAAAAGAGUUGGGAUAUUGAUCAAUAUGUAAUAUACUGCUCACGAGCCAACCUAAAAGAUCAAUAAAGUUGGAUUUGAGUUCACUUUUUUUUUUUUUUUUUAAAUGGUGGUUCCCACUUUUUAAAGAGCUUUUGAAUCAUCAUAAAUGUAGGAUAUUCCCAGUGGUUGGCACAUAAAACCAACCUUUGAAUUGAAGAUAUCAAAAAUGGAAAAUCAAAGUGACUGGCUAGUGGCCAUUAAUGCUAGAAACUCCACUUCUGAAAAAUGAAGUAUGCUGUCUGCAUUUUCUAGGGUUUCCAAAUGGAAAGUUCCGGGAAAUAUAUUUUACUCAAAUCUUUAUUCCGAUCAAUUGAGACAAAAAAUAAAGAAAAUAAUAAUGCCCCUAAAAUUUGACCCAUUAAUUACAGCUAGCAUGCAUAGCAAAGAGAUUGAUUGAAGUGUCUAGCGAAUAUAAAGAUGAAAUUCUGACUUAAUCAUAAUGAAAGUGUGCAUGUUCACAUUGUACGCAAAGCAUAUGCAAAAGCGAAAUACAAAGUUGUUUUUUUCCUUGGCGGAGGACAAAUUUGCUGAAGUUUCCAAGCAUAUCUUCUUACCUUUUUUUUUUUUUUUUUUUAAUGUUAUUUAUGAGUGGUACCACAAGUUAAUAAUUUAGAAAAUGCAGCCAUCGUGCAAACCAACUUUCAUCAUAUUCACGAGUUAUAUAUAUAUAUGCUUUGCAGGCAUCACUAUCAAAACAGUGCAAUUAUCUCAAAUUAUUCGAUCUGGGAUCGAUGGCAAAUUAAAUUAAAUUAGCAUUUAGCUAUAUAUAUACAUUUCUGCUUUUGUCGUUUGGUUUUCUUACUUUUGUCAUCUUUUUGAGUGAAUGAGAAAGUACUUAAAGUUUAAUGUAUAAGUUUAAAGAGUUGGGCAAGCACAAUGGGGGAUUUGAUGGAAGCAAAAGCAAUAGCAGAGAGAGUGAAUGGUGGAUGUGGGAAUCAAGCCCAUCUGUCCAUCGCUAUAUUACAUUUAUUUGAUAUCUUUUCUUGUGCACAAACUUUUUUAUUUUUCUUUAUCUUUUUCUUUUUCACUUUUGGAGGAAUAAAAUUUAACACCAUUUUUAGAUAGUUCUGAACAUAUGAGUGGGUCGAUUGUUCCAUAUCCAUCCAAUUUGGUCAAUAAAAAAUAUAUAUAUAUGAUAAUAAUGGUUACUAAGAUAUGGCCAUCAAUUCAAUAUAGUGUGGGGGGACCAAAUUAAAGUGUACAUAUAUCCAAGCUUGGUUGUUGAGGAAUUUGGAUGUGUAUAAUUUACUGGGUUAAUUUUUCUUUUAUUACUGACAUUUUCGCUAUGGCUAUACGAAAUUAAGAUUAUAAGAAAGAUAAUGAAAUCUAUGAUAACCUCUCCAUACCAAAAAAAAAAAAAAAAAAAAUUCUACAAACCUGAUCGGAACCAUAGUCCACAAAAAGAUUUAACACCAAAUUUCCAGCGUUCCCAUUCCUUUAAUUUUGGCACAUUCACGCGGCAGAGUGCCAGAAAAUAUAAGUUUAUUUUGUGAAUAUAUGCAUUCAAAUAUCGCUGGCAAAAAUGCAGCCGGUUAAGGGAACUCUGUCAUCUAAAAAUAUCAACACCACCAUUUCGUUUUGGGUUAGUUUUACCCAUACAAGACCCAAUAUAAUGAUAUUGGCCUUAAUCAGCACCAGAUCGCUUAAACUCUUAACAACAAAGAUAAUUAAAUCUGACAGAUUAAAAAAAAAAAUCAAAAUAAGAAGCCCCGCCCGCACUGAAUGCAAAUAAUAUUAGAUAAGAGCAGAGAAUCAGAUCGGACCAUCGGUCACCCACUUGUCCGUACACAGACACCCCGGUUUAAAUAAGGAGACAAACGUCAUCAAAAGCAGGGAAACCGCAAUAAAACAGUCAUGGGCCCCACGUUCCCCUCCCUUCCUCCAAUGGGGUCCACUAACAUGGGGCAGCUUAACAACACCACCACCACCACCGUCAACAGACAACAGUAGGUUCAUUUCAUUUCAUCAUCAAUUCGAUUUUUAUUCUCCCAAAACGUUUCUGUAAAAAAAAAUAAAUAAAAAAAAAGAAAAGAAAAGAAAAAAUUCUGCCCCAACAAGCAAGCACACCUCACACGAGCGUAAACUGGGGCCCUCGCUCGACGGCCACGUUCGCGACGGACCAUUCUCUUUCUUUCCUUACACCUCAGGCUCCGAGUGGUCGCUGUUGGACUGUGGCAUCUUGACACCAUGCAGUUGAUACGUGGAGGAUAUGCCGAGAGUCGGUUAAUUAAAUCCCCGCCUUAUUUUCACAAAAAUAAAGCAGGGGAAUCAGUGAAAUGGCUUGACUGCCCUUGCAGGUUUGUCGUUAUUUCCGAAAAAACCGAAACGAAAGUCGAGAAGAAAAUGGAAAAUAAAAUUUGGGGUGAGGAUAAUUAAUUUAUUAUUUAAAUCAAAUCAAAUCCAAUCUACUUUCCAUGUUUUUGCUAAAAGUUAUGAAUUAAAUAAAGAUUCUCUCUCCAUAAGUCUUUGACUUUAUCUCUCCUCUCAAAUAAAACCAAAGCCUAAAUAAACCCACAAAUUCCAUUCAUCGAAACUUCCCCCACACUGCCACCCUCUCUUAUUUUGCAUGCUCUCGGCUCUCCUCUUUUUAACUCUUCAUCUCCUUUUCGUUCUCUCUUCUCUUUCAACCAAAGCCUUAACAAAGCACACCAAAACCAAAAAAUCGCAUUUUUUUUUCUUUUCAUCUUCAAAUAUGGCGGUUGAAGCUAGACGCAUAGACCUUCUCCCUUCGCAAUUAAUCUCACACAGGUAUUAAUAUUUUUUAUAUAUUUUACUACCGAAAAAUUAAAAAUAAAACUAUGUUUUUUUUUUUUUUUAAUUCUUUUCCGUUGUGUUAGAUGAAUCAGUUUCUUAUGUGUGGGUCGGGUUAUUUGUUAUUUGCAGAGAUUUUAUCAAAUCAAAUCAAGUAAACGCCAAUACCCAGAUGGAUUCUUUCUUUCCUUUUGCUGAACCAAUGCCUGAACAAACUAUGUUACCAUUCUAUCAAGCCUUCGAUUGCAAUCCGAUUUCUACUAAAACGUCAAUGGACAAAGCUGAUAGCGGGCUCACGUACAAUAUUCCCGCACCAAGAAAGCGCCAAAGAGAUUCAAUCAACGAUCUUGAUGCCUUCUCCCUUGUCUCUCAAAAGCAAAAGCUCUCUGGCUUCUCGUCUUUACUUGAUCAAGACAUCAUCUUUCGGUUGCAACAACAGCAGUCCGAAAUCGACCGUUACAUUGCCCAACAUGUAAGCAAAGCAAUCAUCUUUGUUUCUGAAGUUCCUUUAUUCCCUUCAUGCUCUCGUUUUAUGUUCAAUUUUUCUUUUCGGGUGUGUUAAUUUAAUAAUGCUUCAUUAACAGACGGAGAAAGUGAUAUUGGAACUUGAAGAACAGAGGAAGAGGCAAUCAAGAAUGUUAAUAUCAGCAAUCCAAGAAGGAGUGGCCAAUAAGUUAAAGGAAAAGGACGAAGAGAUUCAUAGAAUGAGGAAACUCAACUGGGUUCUUCAAGAAAGAGUAAAAAGUUUAUUUGUGGAGAAUCAAAUAUGGAGGGACUUGGCGCAAACCAACGAGGCCACAGCCAACACUCUACGUAGCAAUCUCGAACAGGUCUUGGCACACGUGGGGGGCGAAGGCGAUGACUGUGCUGGUGGUGGUGCCACGCUGGCAGCUGCGGCGGAGGAUGAUGCGGAGUCGAGCUGCGGGAGCAGUGAUUUUGGGAGGAGCACGAUAGCAGGGGAGGGUGCGCAGGAUAAGGCGGUUGGUGGUGGUAGGAUGUUGUGCCGACGGUGUGGGGAGAAGGAGUCGAGCGUGUUGCUGCUGCCAUGCCGGCACUUGUGUUUGUGUACAGUUUGUGGGUCCUGUCUUAUUGGUUCCUGUCCGGUUUGUAACUUUGUAGUGGAUGCCAGUCUCCAUGUUAACUUGUCUUAAUUAAUUACAAUCAGAAAAGAAAAAAAAAUGAACAGCUAUUGAAAAAAAAAUUAUUCAGGAAAUAUAGAAUUUUUUUUUUAAUUGGUUUUUGUUUCGCUUAUUGCUUAUCUUUGUUUAAUCGGCAUUUUUCUCUUAUCUUGGGAGUGUUUUAGUAAUUUUUGAAAAAUUAGAAAUGGUCCGAAGGUAAAAUUUGGAAAUAAAAUUGACCUUAGAUAAAAAGGGCGGAAAUGGGUCACGAGAUUGCAAAAUUGGAAUAGCAUUUUUGUUGUUCAUCUGAAUGGAGGAGACUGAGGGGGCGCAUUCAAUCACUCUCUUUGCAUUUUCUUGGCAAUGGGGCUAGCACUUGUUUGCUUCUAUUUAAUGGUAAAGCAGGAAAGGUUAGAAAUUUUAAUAAAAUAAAAAAAAAAAAGAGGAAAAUGAUGGUGGUGACUGUGAACGGCAUCAUUGCCACCGAUCCUUGGAAUCAACAGAAAUUGCACACUAGCCUUAGAGAGAGGAAUUGUGUUACUGGCCCACUUAUGACAAGAUCCAGAGAUCUGUUCGUGGAAUCAUUUAUUAUUUCUUUUUUUCACUCUGCUUUAUCCGUUUAAAUUUCUAGGACUCAAUCAUGCAAUUUUCUUUUUCAAGUGGUCUUCUUUGUCAUUAAAAAAAAAGGGGGGGAGAAGCCUGAUUUCUUAUUUGUACUUGUUCCCAUAUUGAAUAUUUUAUUCAAACCCCCCACAUUCAAUCCCCACUAUCAAGUUUUCAAUUCAAAUCCGUUGUUAUUAGAGUAUUUUAUUUUGCAUUAAAAAGAUUAAUUUAAACGACGUAGUUUUAAGUUAGGACGACCAAGAAAAAAAAGUUCGACUCAAAAAUUUAAAAAAAAUAAAUAUAUAACAAUAAUAACAAUGAAAGGGUAAGCUAGCUAGAAAGAAGAGCAUUAAAACCUGGGCAUGUGCCAAGUGGCAAAGACGACCUGAUACGUCAGACUGAAACUCAGUGCGGGGUCCACCACGUGUUGUUCCUCUGCAACCCCAACUGCAGCACUGCAGUGUGUGCAUGGCGUUUUAUAUAAUUACAACCUUGCGUUCCUGUUGAAAAAGAAGAAACAAAUGCUACGCAGCGUUAAAUACAAGGCAAACAAAAAUUAAUUUUAUUUAUUUAUUUUUGGUUAAAAAAUGGCUAAAGAUAAAGAUUAUGAGAGCAGUACGAAAAAGGUCAAGCCAACUGCCUAAUUACCACUCAUACUAACCGUACGUUGCACCUACUCGUACACACUCAUAACAUGCGUGCUGCAGAUGCAACUUGUCAGUGGGGUGUCAAAAGCAAAAGCAUAAUUAUUAUUGUCUUUUACUUUCUAUUUUCCCCCAAAAAAUCAGAUGAUUUUAGAAAUUAGAGAUCGAUUUUUUAUUUUUUUUUUCACGUUUACGCCCAAGCCAAUGUGCUAGACUCUUAUGGCUUCUUGCUCUUGAUGCACUAUCAUAACUUUGUAUAGUAAUUUUGUAAUCAAUACUCAAUAUAAAUUUUGAAAACGAUGCGUUGCCCAAAUGUACAGGCCUCAAUUGAAUGCGCGGUACUGUGUUCGCAGUUGAAGUGACGGUGUGGGGGAGGUGAACCAAACACAAUAAGAAAAAUAAAAUAGGGACCCUAAAAUUCCGCCGACGUCGUGCUGCACAAGGCGUACGCUCGCCCGUUCGUUCAACAUCAUCAUUAUUAUUAUCAUUUGUUUUUUUUACAUAAAAUUAAUUAAAUAAUCAGGUGGCUAAAUUGGGCAGAAAUUUUGGAUGGUACAAAGCCGACAAAAACCAGAGCGUUAAAGUUGUAAGAACACGAGAAAAUGAAAAAAAAAAACAAUAA
rnacentral:lncRNA from 1 species